GGGGAAUCUUGCACAAUGGGCGAAAGCCUGAUGCAGCGACGCCGCGUGCGGGACGAAGGCCUUCGGGUCGUAAACCGCUUUCAGCAGGGACGAGGCCGCGAGGUGACGGUACCUGCAGAAGAAGCCCCGGCUAACUACGUGCCAGCAGCCGCGGUAAUACGUAGGGGGCGAGCGUUAUCCGGAUUCAUUGGGCGUAAAGCGCGCGUAGGCGGCCUGUUAGGUCGGGAGUCAAAUCCGGGGGCUCAACCCCCGCCCGCUCCCGAUACCGGCGGGCUUGAGUCUGGUAGGGGAAGGCGGAAUUCCAAGUGUAGCGGUGGAAUGCGCAGAUAUUUGGAAGAACACCGGUGGCGAAGGCGGCCUUCUGGGCCACGACUGACGCUGAGGCGCGAAAGCUAGGGGAGCGAACA
rnacentral:rRNA from 1 species